rnacentral:rRNA from 1 species
GAGAGUUUGAUCAUGGCUCAGAUUGAACGCUGGCGGCAGGCCUAACACAUGCAAGUCGAGCGGUAACAGGACUAGCUUGCUAGUUGCUGACGAGCGGCGGACGGGUGAGUAACGCGUAGGAAUCUACCAAGUAGUGGGGGAUAAGCCAGAGAAAUUUGGUCUAAUACCGCAUACGUUCUUCGGAAGAAAGGAGGGGAUCUUCGGACCUUUCGCUAUUUGAUGAGCCUGCGUGAGAUUAGCUUGUUGGUGAGGUAAGAGCUCACCAAGGCGACGAUCUCUAGCUGGUCUGAGAGGAUGAUCAGCCACACUGGGACUGAGACACGGCCCAGACUCCUACGGGAGGCAGCAGUGGGGAAUAUUGCACAAUGGGCGCAAGCCUGAUGCAGCCAUGCCGCGUGUGUGAAGAAGGCCCUAGGGUUGUAAAGCACUUUCAGCAGUGAGGAAAGGUGUGUGGUUAAUACCCGCAUACUGUGACGUUAACUGCAGAAGAAGCACCGGCUAACUCCGUGCCAGCAGCCGCG